UAUGAAGGUGAAUCCAGUCCAUGUAGUGAACUGUGUGCUGUAUUGAUGAGGAGCUCAGUGAUCAGAGUCCAUGUAGUUUCCAGGAUCAGACUGAAUGCAGUGCUGGAAGCUGCUGUUGACUGUGUGAAUGUGUGUCUGUGCUGCUUGUUGCUGCUGUCAAACUUCAGAUAAGCCGGUAGUGAAGCCCGUGGUGAGCGUGUACCCAGCAGCAUCCAGAGCCCACCAUGAGGGGAAGAGCUCCCUGCUGUGUGUGGCCUCAAACAUGUUUCCUCCUCUGGUCCGCUUCUCCUGGAAAAGACGAAAGGUGAACGAGUCUCUGGAGGAGCAGGCACCUGCUGAGGAGGAGCAGGCACCUGCUGAGGAGGUGCAGCUGGAGCUCAGAGAGUCGGGACGCACCGCCGCCAUCAGAGUGAUUCAUCGGGACGCUCUCUCCACGUAUAAAUACCGCUGCUACGUCCAGCACGAGGGGGGGGAAGUGAAGGCCCAAACAGAACAAGAGGUUCCGGUGGCCUCCUGUCCUCCAGAGAGAGAGCCAGCAGACCUGGCAGCUCUGCAGCAAGCUGACUUGUCCUUCCAGUCUCAGUGCAGGGUGAAGCUGCUCUGGCUGCUGUACACAGUGCUGAUAGUGAAGAGUCUGGUGUACUGCUGUGGACUCCCUCUGCUGUGAAUCCUCAGAAACAAGGGACCGUCCACCGGCUGCACACAUGCUGACUGACUGCUUUCUGCUGGCCUUUUCUCACCAUCAGAUCUCAUCAAUUCAUCUCAGUGAUCACCACUCAGAAAUGUUAUGUUGUGCACAGGUUAGAUAUAGUCUUCAAAAAAAUAUAAACACAUAUAUUUGCAGUUACUGAGUGUAAAUUCUGUGGUAUAGUGUUAUUUUGAUCAUCUAGUUUAUUUCCUCUUGUAGAAAAUGUAACUGAAUUAUUAGCUGUCUGCUAGAUAUUUUAUCAUUUACAAUAUUUUUCUGUUCUCUUUUUAAUACAUUAUGCAGAGUGUGGUAGAAUUCUUUUAGAGUAACUUUCUCAAUAAACUAAAAAAAUCACAGCAUCUGGGUUUUAUAAACAUCCUUGUUUUUAUGGAUUUCGGGUUGGUCUCAUAGCAAAUAGUUAACUUCAUUGGUAAUGUGAGUUGACAGCUACAUGUAAUUUGACUCAGGUUGUAAGCAGCUCACAAUAUACUUUCACACAGCGCCAAGAACAAAUGUACAGGAAGAUAUGAAUAUAAGCACACAGCUAAACAAGGACA